GCCAGGCACGGUGGCCCACGCCUGUAAUCCAGAGGCUCAGGAGGCAGAGGCAGGGGAAUCGUGAGUGAGUUCAAAGCCAGCCUCAGCAACUUCGCGAGACUCUGUCUCAA
rnacentral:sRNA from 1 species